GUUACUUUCAGGCCUUUUGGCUGAAAUUGAGUAUAUUAUCUGUUCCUCUCAGUUUAAUAUCUGAUACAUUCUCAAUGAAAAGAUUGAAUGAAAUAUAUUAUCUCUGUUGUGAUUUCGCACUGGUAAGUAAAUCAGCUUUGUCAUGACACUUUCUCAUUCCUCUCCCUGAACAGAAU
rnacentral:snRNA from 1 species